UCUAAUAUGGCAGAACAGUGCAUUGGACUUAAACCCCAAAUACAAAGUUUACACUUUUAUUAGAA
rnacentral:tRNA from 1 species